rnacentral:lncRNA from 1 species
AAGGGCGGCCUUGGAGUGUGCAUAUUGGAUGGUUUUGGAGUGUUGGGACUUGUUCUCUACACUUCAAAACUUGUUCCAUUGGUUGGACAGCCACCCAAACUCGAGUCUUUAUGUAUUGGUCCAAAAUCACGAUCGUACUUGUAUCAUCCUCCCCUUCUUGAAAAAGGAUUCGACCUUGGAUCCAAACCUUGCAUAAUAAUAGGAAGGACAAGCAAACACAAGUUCCUCAAGGUAUGAAGGUUAGGAUUAGUGUAAUCAAUCAUAGCAUCUUGCCAAGGUGGCUCAAACUUCACAUACACCCAAACAUCCCUCUUACUCGAAUACCCUCCCAAGAAAAAGUCAACUAGUCUAUCCACACAAGUGUGACAAAAAAUAAAGAACAAGAGUUUCUCAUCAAGUGGAAAACAUACUCUUCUUUGAACAACAAAUAGGCUUGAAAGCCGAGAUAGGAAGGCCAUAAAUUCCAUGCACAUUCAAGUCAUUCCAAAAGACAUCCUCAUCACCAUACUUCAAAUAAUCACCGGGAUCAAAUGGGUGGAGUGUCCAUGGACCCGGGUUUCGGAUGCAUUUCCUUUUCCACAUACUGUACUAGUACAAUCAUAUAUCCCCUCUAUACUAGCAUGGUCUACAAUAAAAAUAACUAAAGUGUCAUCCAUAGUCAAUCGGCCAACAUGUUGAACAUCACCAUUUUCACACACAAGUUGGUCUUCAUGACUUCCAUAAGAUAAUAUAUUAUCACUUGCCACAAUGGCCUCAACACUAGAUGGAUAAACUAGUGUAUCCACAAUCUCAAGUUGUACAUUAUCAUCACCAAAUGGAGGCACAUUCGGCUCGCCUAAAGACAAACUACCAUUCACACUUAGUUGGCUACUAGCCUCAUUCACUAGAGUGCAAGAGUUAGUUUAAUUACCUUGUAGCUCAUGUGUAGCAUGUCCACUUACAGGAACUUGAUUAAAAAGACUUGGAUUCUCUAUCAAGUUAUCCAACUCCUUGCAAAGAGAGCUUUCCAUCCCUUCUAUUCUUCCUUCCACUCGGUCCAUUAUUUUUUUUGCAUUCUCUCCAUUCGGCUGCUAAUGUCAUGUUUCAUACCCAUUAUGGCAGCUAUCAAAUCGUUCAUGGUCACCUUUUCCAAUGCCAUAGUUCCUAACAAAAGAAAUU